rnacentral:rRNA from 1 species
UACAGAGGGGGCAAGCGUUGUUCGGAAUUACUGGGCGUAAAGGGCGCGUAGGCGGCCCGCUAAGUCGAACGUGAAAUCCCCGAGCUCAACUCGGGAACUGCGUCCGAUACUGGCGGGCUUGAUCCGGGAGAGGGAUGCGGAAUUCCAGGUGUAGCGGUGAAAUGCGUAGAGAUGUGGAGGAACACCAGUGGCGAAGGCAGCCCCCUGGGUCAAGA